rnacentral:rRNA from 1 species
AUUGAACGCUGGCGGCAUGCCUUACACAUGCAAGUCGAACGGCAGCACGGGAGCAAUCCUGGUGGCGAGUGGCGAACGGGUGAGUAAUAUAUCGGAACGUGCCCAGUCGUGGGGGAUAACGUAGCGAAAGCGACGCUAAUACCGCAUACGAUCUAUGGAUGAAAGCGGGGGAUCGCAAGACCUCGCGCGAUUGGAGCGGCCGAUAGCAGAUUAGGUAGUUGGUGAGGUAAAGGCUCACCAAGCCGACGAUCUGUAGCUGGUCUGAGAGGACGACCAGCCACACUGGGACUGAGACACGGCCCAGACUCCUACGGGAGGCAGCAGUGGGGAAUUUUGGACAAUGGGCGCAAGCCUGAUCCAGCAAUGCCGCGUGCAGGAUGAAGGCCUUCGGGUUGUAAACUGCUUUUGUACGGAGCGAAAAGGCUUCCACUAAUACUGGGGGCUCAUGACGGUACCGUAAGAAUAAGCACCGGCUAACUACGUGCCAGCCGCCGCCGUAAUAC